rnacentral:lncRNA from 1 species
GCAGUAUGUUGCUGCUGGUUUCAGGGCGGUGAUCUCGGAAGCCGAAAGGGACCGAAGCGAAGGGGAGGCGGAAGAGAAGCAGCAGUUUCCUGCAGAAAGAGAGGCCGAGGCUCUGUUUAUGACUACCUGACUCACAGAGGAUGCACUCUUGUGGUCACACAACUGCCCAGGCACAAGUUCAUUAAGGAGGCAUGCCAUUGGUGCUACUGUGGCUUCUAGGGCCCACAGCUGAUCAUCUUUUACACGAUGCAAAGGAUGGGAUGGGGCUUCUUCCCCUCUCCACAGACCUGGGCAGGCUCUUGAAGUAUCCCUGGGCAUCAGGACUUUUGAAAGCUUCCCAGAGGAUUCUAAUGUCAGGAGUGUGAGAGAAGGGCUGUUACCCGGGAUCAGUUUGCCCUCUCUUCCUGGAAAACUAGUAAGUAGCUUACAGCCAAUCUGUCUUCAUUUGUUUGCUUGUGUUUUGUAAAGCUAGACUCCUGAAGACCUUUACUGAUGUUUGAAUAGAGUGCCAUGGAUGACAAUCAAUCCUGAAUUCAUUAACAUGUGGACUUCUCCUUUGUACCAUUUGAUAUUGCCAUCUUAAUGUGAUCGUUAAGAAAAAAACUUACUAUGUUGCCUCUCCCCAGAAGACAGU